rnacentral:lncRNA from 1 species
GAUAUAGCUUAGAUCUUACUGAGAAGUGUUGUUUCCCAUUAACAGUCACAUGUUGGAUUUCUCAGAUUCACUUGGAAGUCUACAAUAAGUUUGUUCUCCCCAUGGAAGGCUUGCAGAUGGAAACUCUGCCUCUGUUAACUGCCUUGGCAGAGAAAAAAAGUUUGGCAACCAGCACUUCGUUAACGAUUCCCAGCUGCAGCCUCAGCUCUUGGAAUGCUGACACCUGGAACAUAUCUGCAAUGGGCUUUAAUGACACUAAUCUACUAGUAAGGUAGAUAGUGUUUUUGGGACAACAAUGUUGGCACUCUUCCUGCACUCUCUGCCAAAAGGGAAAGGCUUGCACAAAUGGCAAGGGUGAUCUCCCUGCAUUCACCAUACUGGACACCAGUCAGCAGUGCAAGGGUGAACCAUACACAUCCCCCAGAGGCCAACAGUGGAUUUGUA